rnacentral:rRNA from 1 species
GACGAACGCUGGCGGCGUGCCUAAUACAUGCAAGUAGGACGCAGUUGCGAACGGGUGAGUAACGCGUAGGUAACUACCUAUUAGAGGGGGAUAACUAUUGGAAACGAUAGCUAAUACCGCAUACUAGUAGAUGGACCUGCGUUGUAUUAGCUAGUAGGUAGGGUAAUGGCCUACCUAGGCAACGAUACAUAGCCGACGUGGGAGGGUGAUGGGCCACACUGGGACUGAGAGCCGGGCCAGACUCCUACGGGAGGCAGCAGGAGGGAAUCUGCGGCAAUGGGGGGAAGCCUGGACGAGCAACGCCGCGUUGGUGAAGAAGGUUUUCGGAUCGUAAAGCUCUGUUGUUAAGGGAGCGGUACUUAACCAGAAAGGGACGGCUAACUACGUGCCAGCAGCCGCGGUAAUUC